CAAAAUCACGGCUCAUGGCAGUGGUGGUGCUGGUGGUCAUUAUGGAAGCUGUUGUCAAGAUCCUGCUCUUCCUCCUCUGCCUCAUCAUCCUCAUGUGAGCUCUGCCCCAGGGGGUAGCAAGGUACCACUUGAGGAAGGUGACAAGGCCCACACAGUACAUGGAGAAAGCCAACACUGUCUCAAGUUAAUCUCUCAGAUUAUGUUGCCUGAGACUCACCAUCCACUUCCUGCCAAGUUUGAACAGCAGCCUUUCUUUUCUAUGGCCCGAGAUGAGGUGCAAUCAGCAUGGGCUGGCUGAAGACCUGGUAUGACUCCUGCUUCCUGGUGGACGUUUUACCAGAUUCCUCCAUGUCCCUGAAUCUCACACCAUCUCACACCAGCCAUGCCAGGGCCUUUGUGUCCCUGAGACUUUGCAGGUGCAGUUCCUUCUGCUGAAAUGCCCUUCCCUUUCCUACAUCUCCAAGGGCUGACCAUUACUGCAAUCAAUUAAAA